rnacentral:rRNA from 1 species
GAGUUUGUCUUGGCUCAGGACGAACGCUGGCGGCGUGCCUAAUACAUGCAAGUCGAGCGGACCUUGUGUUUCCUUCGGGAGACGCCAGGUUAGCGGCGGACGGGUGAGUAACACGUAGGCAACCUGCCUGUAAGACCGGGAUAACUUGCGGAAACGUGAGCUAAUACCGGAUAGCUGGUUUCUUCGCAUGAAGAAGUCAUGAAAGACGGGGCAACCUGUCACUUACAGAUGGGCCUGCGGCGCAUUAGCUAGUUGGUGGGGUAACGGCUUACCAAGGCGAC